AUUGAACGCUGGCGGAAUGCUUUACACAUGCAAGUCGAGCGGCAGCACGGGGGCAACCCUGGUGGCGAGCGGCGAACGGGUGAGUAAUACAUCGGAACAUGCCCAGUCGUGGGGGAUAACACUUCGAAAGAAGUGCUAAUACCGCAUACGUCCUGAGGGAGAAAGCGGGGGAUCUUCGGACCUCGCGCGAGUGGAGUGGCCGAUGUCAGAUUAGCUAGUUGGUGGGGUAAAGGCCUACCAAGGCAACGAUCUGUAGCUGGUCUGAGAGGAUGAUCAGCCACACUGGGACUGAGACACGGCCCAGACUCCUACGGGAGGCAGCAGUGGGAAUUUUGGACAAUGGGGGCAACCCUGAUCCAGCCAUUCCGCGUGAGUGAAGAAGGCCUUCGGGUUGUAAAGCUCUUUCGGCAGGAACGAAACGGCGAGCUCUAACAUAGCUUGCUAAUGACGGUACCUGAAGAAGAAGCACCGGCUAACUACGUGCCAGCCGCCGCGGUAACAC
rnacentral:rRNA from 1 species